UACGUAGGGGGCAAGCGUUGUCCGGAAUUAUUGGGCGUAAAGAGCGUGUAGGCGGUCCGGUAAGUCAGCUGUGAAAGUCAAGGGCUCAACCCUUGAAUGCCGGUUGAUACUGUCGGGCUAGGGUCCGGAAGAGGCGAGUGGAAUUCCCGGUGUAGCGGUGAAAUGCGCAGAUAUCGGGAGGAACACCAAUGGCGAAGGCAGCUCGCUGGGACGUUACUGACGCUGAGACGCGAAAGCGUGGGGAGCAAACAGG
rnacentral:rRNA from 1 species